GAUGAACGCUGGCGGCGUGCCUAAUACAUGCAAGUCGAGCGAACAGACGAGGAGCUUGCUCCUCUGACGUUAGCGGCGGACGGGUGAGUAACACGUGGAUAACCUACCUAUAAGACUGGGAUACUUCGGGAAACCGGAGGUAAUACCGGAUAAUAAUAUUAACCGGCUGGGUUAAUAGUGGAAAGCGGGUUUUGUUUUACUUAUUGAUGGGACCGAGCCGGAUUAGGUAGUUGGUAAGGUAAAGGCUUACCAAGGCAACGGUGCGUAGCCGACCUGAGAGGGUGAUCGGCCACACUGGAACUGAGACACGGUCCAGACUCCUACGGGAGGCAGCAGUAGGGAAUCUUCCGCAAUGGGCGAAAGCCUGACGGAGCAACGCCGCGUGAGUGAUGAAGGUCUUCGGAUCGUAAAACUCUGUUAUUAGGGAAGAACAAAUGUGUAAGUAACUAUGCACGUCUUGACGGUACCUAAUCAGAAAGCCACGGCUAACUACGUG
rnacentral:rRNA from 1 species